AACGAACGCUGGCGGCAGGCUUAACACAUGCAAGUCGAACGCCCCGCAAGGGGAGUGGCAGACGGGUGAGUAACGCGUGGGAACAUACCCUUUCCUGCGGGAUAGCUCCGGGAAACUGGAAUUAAUACCGCAUACGCCCUACGGGGGAAAGAUUUAUUGGGGAAGGAUUGGCCCGCGUUGGAUUAGCUAGUUGGUGGGGUAAAGGCCUACCAAGGCGACGAUCCAUAGCUGGUCUGAGAGGAUGACCAGCCACAUUGGGACUGAGACACGGCCCAAACUCCUACGGGAGGCAGCAGUGGGGAAUAUUGGACAAUGGGCGCAAGCCUGAUCCAGCCAUGCCGCGUGAGUGAUGAAGGCCUUAGGGUUGUAAAGCUCUUUCACCGAUGAAGAUAAUGACGGUAGUCGGAGAAGAAGCCCCGGCUAACUUCGUGCCAGCCGCCGCCGUAAGAC
rnacentral:rRNA from 1 species